UGCAUCGCUAGUAUUGAAUAUGUUUGUUUUUUUUCCUCUCUCCCUGUGUGUGUGGGUGUGUGUGGCUGCAGCACGAGCCGGUGACUCUAACUACGACAACAGCGGUGGUGGAGAACAAGGAGCAGCUCAAGGCGGACAAAUGGCCGGAAUCAUCAGUGCAGUGGGCGUGGCCAUUCUUGGUGCCGCCUCCAGCUACUUCGCCUACCAGAAAAAGAAACUCUGCUUCAAAAUUCAAGGAGGUGAGUGCUGCUUUUACGUACAGUGAGUGAAUAAAUGGGAGUCAUUUAAAUUGUCA
rnacentral:lncRNA from 1 species